ACCGUGAUCCUCAGAUCCUAGCCUCCUGAGUAGCUAGGAUUACAGGUGUGAACCACUAGCACCCAGCUUCCUUUUUCUUAUUCUUAAAAAUCACCUCUGUAGAAAGGUGGUAGGCAGGGAUAUCAGAGGAAAGAAAGGGCACAAGACCCAGGGAAUUAUAUGGCUACAGCUGAGAUCUGAGGA